rnacentral:lncRNA from 1 species
AAAUUGUCAUACAUCUAAAGCAACUAAAAUCCUUACAUGCAAAUGCCAUCAAAAGGACUUUUUCAAGGCUUGUAAUGAGGCUGGGCUAACAAGAAAAAUUGGUUUUUCUGAAUGCAAAAUCCUCGAGUUAAGAGAGCUUUCAUAAUAUUUAACAUUUAAACACAACUCUCCUCCUCAUCAACUUCACUUUUCCCAACUUCUUCCCUUUUCUUUUGCAUUAAGCUCUCUUUCAUGCUUUUUCUUCUUUUCUUUUCUUUUUCUCAUGUAUUUUUCUUUCACACCAUUUGAGCUCAAUGCUUUUUAAAUUGCCUUUCAGUUUCCCCCAUGCAAC